ensembl:snoRNA SNORA70 Small nucleolar RNA SNORA70
CUGCAGCUAAUUAAGCCGGCUGUGCUCUUUUCCUUGUGGGGGCCCAGUGUGCAGUGGCUGCAAACAGCAGCUUCUUUGGUAGUGUAUGCAGCCUGUUGCCUGUAUGGGUUGCGCUAAGGGACCUUGGAGACAUCC